CUGGGAGGAGAGUCAACCCAGCAAAGGAAGAGCAAGCAUGCGUGCUCACCUCUGCCUUUCAUGGUAGUGAGGAUGUGGAGGUUUUAUCUGGAUUUCUGAAGACAGGAAAACGCCAGUUUUCAGAAACUGUUACAAACAUCCCGCUUUCGUGCGCUGAGUGACUGAGGCCAUCCGAAGCUUACGUCCUCUGAUAACCGACUGGAGCAGCCCCACUGCUCGGGAAUGUGCUGCCUCAGGAAUCCUGCCUGAGGCCUUCAUGCUCCCGUUACCCCAGUGAGAUUUUACUCUCGCUAUUCCGCCAGCUAAGUGUCCACAGAGCCCUGUUUUCCCACCACUCAGUGAAGACUAGUCACCUCCUCCAGGGAGCGGCAGAUGAUACGACACUGGCACCAAUUCUUCAACUGGAAGAAAUACAGGAACGAUAUACAAAUCCAAGGAGAGCCACUGCCUCAAACAGCCCAGCAGCCUCCCUGAGACAAGGACACGCAGAGCCUGGCAGCCUGCUCGGCAGAGUGGAAGAAGGGGAAAUGCAGGGAGAACCUCUAAAUUCCUGUCCUGAUCAAUUACUCUGAAAACAACAGACGCACCUGCAGAGGCCACGGAACCUCAUACAGACAGUAGAAGCUUCGAGUCAAAGACAAUUAUUCAGGAAAGAGGCCGCGAACAGGAUGUUCACCGCUGACCAGCGAAAGCUGGGCCUUACCUGGCCUCCCCAGGCAUCUCUGGGAACGCGCAAGUGAAGCAUCUUCCUUUCUAACCUACGCGAAGGGGCCGUGGGGACCGUCUUUAAGCACCCGAGCCCUUCUGUCUUUGUGUCCCAUCUACGUCUUUACCCUCGGUCAAAGUCAAAGAGCUGAUAAAAGGCAUGCGCUCCACAUUCUUUCCCUGGCUAUACUUAGACCUUGUCAGUCUAAGUAAAUGUUUACUCUCUACAAAAUUUUAACAGUGUUACUGAAAUAUUCAUAUGCACGAAAUUCCCCCGCGUCAAGGGUAGUCAGAGGUUUCUGUAGACCCACAGAUGCGCCCAGUCCUCAGCACCGUCUAAUUUUAGCCUGUUUUCAUCACCCCAAACAUACACAGGCCCAUUACAGCCACUCUCCCCCCCUGCACCUCCAGACCGAGGCCGCCACUGCCCUGCUUUCUGUUGUAAUGAAGUUGUUUAUUCUGUACAUCUUAGGUAAGUAGAAUUAUAAAAUACGUGGCCUUAUGUAACUGAAUCCUUUAACUUUGUAGAAUGUGUUCACGGUUGAUCCAUGUUGCUGCAAGCAUCAGCCAUUUAAUUCUCUUUGAUAAAUAACAUUCUGUCUCAUGGGUACACCGUAUUUUGCUGGACAUUUGGGGAUUUCUACUUUUUGGCCAUUAUAAAUGCUGCCACUACGAACAUGAAUGUACAA